UGAGGGAGCUAUGAGAUGAAGACACAUUCACAUGUUUGAUAAAAAUUGAGUUAUUGUAGGGAGAAUAAUUAAAAAAUUAGACAUUAAUAUUUAGUUAUAAGUUCUAACCGUAAGAAUCUUACCGUUGAAUUUGAUCCAGAUUACGUAUUUUGAUUUGAACAAAAGGUACAAUAAUAUUCGUAUAACUUUUUCUAGAAAUGAAUCAGUUGUAUCGAUUAAAAAAUAGAGAUUUUGGUUCUAUCAAUUACAAUAUUAGAACUAGUCACUCUCUCGAUCUAAUUUUCCAGAUACGAAUAAACUUGAGUUGAGAUUUAUCACUGAAAAGUCGAAAAUUAAAGGCACUGCUCAGUCUAUAGAUCUCUCCUAACUCUAAAAAGC
rnacentral:lncRNA from 1 species